rnacentral:rRNA from 1 species
GUGAGGAAUAUUGCGCAAUGGAGGCAACUCUGACGCAGCCAUGCCGCGUGCAGGAAGAAGGCGCUACGCGUUGUAAACUGCUUUUAACCGGGAAGAAACCCCAGGACGUGUCCUGGGUUGACGGUACCGGAGGAAUAAGCACCGGCUAACUUCGUGCCAGCAGCCGCGGUAAUACGAAGGGUGCAAGCGUUAUCCGGAUUCAUUGGGUUUAAAGGGUGCGUAGGCGGAGCGUUAAGUCAGUGGUGAAUUCCUGCAGCUUAACUGUAGACUUGCCAUUGAUACUGGCGCUCUUGAGUGCGCUUGAAGUGGGCGGAAUGUGCCGUGUAGCGGUGAAAUGCUGAGAUAAGGCACAGAACACCAAUUGCGAAGGCAGCUCACUAAGGCGAUACUGACGAUGAGGCACGAAAGCGUGGGGAUCGAACAGGAUUAGAUACCCGGGUAGUCC